GGACAAAUGGACCUGGGGUAGGAGAGAGGGACAACAGUAGGAGCAGGCAGAUCUUGCUGUUUCAACCAAAACCUCAUGCUGACCAGAGUUGAGGAACAGAAGAAGAUGGUGAAGGCCUGCAGGUAUAGGUGUUCAGCAUGUCAUCUGAAAUAUUCCCCACAGAGGCAAAAAGAAAGGAAAUUAUCUCUGAAAAGGAAUGGGAAGACAAGUCAGCAGAAUAUCUCAAUGUUUUGGUUGAAGAAGCUGCUUGAAUCUGGGCUUUUCUGUGCCAUGUGUUCUCCCAGGGCCAGCACAAAGAAGGGCUUUUGGUGCAGGCCCAAGACCACCAUAAUCAUCAUUGAUUAUUCCUCUCCACGCCAGUGUCUCUAAAUAAACUUUCUCUUCUUUCUCUGA
rnacentral:lncRNA from 1 species